UCUACCCCUCUGACCAUUUUCACCCAUUAGAUCAAACUAUUCAACUAAUUGUCACGCCCCGGGGUCCCUUUGGAUUCAAAAAUCCAAUGCAGAAGUGCUCAAUUUUUUAUUUAUUUAUUUUUUUUGAAAACUUUGACUCCAGAGUCUGUCAGAUCCGCCACAAAUACAAAGAAUCCACUGUUCACACGGACAGAGUCUCCCCUAUAUUUUCACGGCGUCGUACAAGUACAAGAAACAACCACAUACAUAUGAAUAUCCACAUACAUAUACCGCAUCACAUUCACAUCCAUUUCAUCACAAAUAAUCACAUAUCCACAUCUAUUAGUGUCACGCCCCGCGACCGCUACUAAUUUGGUCCGGUUCGGGCGCGUCGGACAAACGCCGAACGUACAACACCUCCCCUGUCCACCCACGGCUAAACAACGAGAUUGUGUACAACAAGAGCCCAGAAAAUCAACUUGAUUACAUACACAAUUAAACAAUAACGAGAGCACAACCAGUGCUAAUUAACUAAAGAGCAAGCAUCACAAGUAAUAAACAAGUGAAUAAAAGAGAGAUACUAAUCUAUUACAUCCAUUCAACCUUUUAAUACACUUGAUUAACUUUACAUUUAUCCAAAACAUAACUUAAAGCUUACAUUUUCGAAAAUAGCCUCACACCUAUACAUCAUCUACUCUCGAAUAUACAUAUGGUAGUCUAAUGCAAAAAGAAAAAGUAUGCUACUACCACCACUAGGGCGCUACGCCCCUACCGCGAUCCUCGCCGGGGGUACUCGAGUUCGGACCGGCAACAAUGUGCGGUGAGAACUACAAAUAGUUCCCAGUGGGUUCGGCCGCCGACUCCGCCGAUCUCCCUACUAGGUCUAAGCAGGCAUAGAAAGAUAGGUAGAUAGAUAGAUAGAUAGAUAGCUAUGCGGAAAUGA
rnacentral:lncRNA from 1 species